rnacentral:rRNA from 1 species
GGAAUAUUGGGCAAUGGGAGGAAUCCUGACCCAGCGACGCCGCGUGAACGAUGAAGGCCUUAGGGUUGUAAAGUUCUUUUAUGUGGGAAGAAGGAAGUGACGGUACCACAUGAAUAAGCCCCGGCUAACUACGUGCCAUCAGCCGCGGUAAUACGUAGGGGGCGAGCGUUGUCCGGAAUUACUGGGCGUAAAGGGCACGCAGGCUGUGAUUCAAGUCAGCUGUAAAAGGAUGCGGCUUAACCGUGUUUAGCAGUUGAAACUGGAUGACUGGAGUGCUGGAGAGGCAAGUGGAAUUCCCAGUGUAGCGGUGAAAUGCGUAGAUAUUGGGAAGAACAUCGGUGGCGAAGGCGACUUGCUGGCCAGUAACUGACGCUGAGGUGCGAAAGCCAGGGUAGCAAACGGGAUUAGAUACCCCGGUAGUCCUGGCUGUAAACGAUGAAUGCUAGGUGUGCGAGCAGAGAUGUUGGUGUGCCGCAGUUAACGCGAUAAGCAUUCCGCCUGGGGAGUACGGUCGCAAGAUUGAAACUCAAAGGAAUUGACGGGGGCCCGCACAAGCGGUGGAGCACGUGGUUUAAUUCGAUGCAAACCGAAGAAC